rnacentral:rRNA from 1 species
AGUGAACGCUGGCGGUAGGCCUAACACAUGCAAGUCGAACGGCAGCACAGUAAGAGCUUGCUCUUACGGGUGGCGAGUGGCGGACGGGUGAGGAAUACAUCGGAAUCUACUUUUUCGUGGGGGAUAACGUAGGGAAACUUACGCUAAUACCGCAUACGACCUACGGGUGAAAGCAGGGGAUCUUCGGACCUUGCGCGAUUGAAUGAGCCGAUGUCGGAUUAGCUAGUUGGCGGGGUAAAGGCCCACCAAGGCGACGAUCCGUAGCUGGUCUGAGAGGAUGAUCAGCCACACUGGAACUGAGACACGGUCCAGACUCCUACGGGAGGCAGCAGUGGGGAAUAUUGGACAAUGGCGCAAGCCUGAUCCAGCCAUACCGCGUGGGUGAAGAAGGCCUUCGGGUUGUAAAGCCCUUUUGUUGGGAAAGAAAAGCAGCAGGUUAAUACCCCGCUGUUCUGACGGUACCCAAAGAAUAAGCACCGGCUAACUUCGU